rnacentral:rRNA from 1 species
CACGUAGGGCGCGAGCGUUGUCCGGAAUUAUUGGGCGUAAAGAGCUCGUAGGCGGCCUGUUGCGUCCGCUGUGAAAGCCCGGGGCUUAACCCCGGGUCGGCAGUGGAUACGGGCAGGCUAGAGGUAGGUAGGGGAGAAUGGAAUUCCCGGUGUAGCGGUGAAAUGCGCAGAUAUCGGGAGGAACACCUGUGGCGAAAGCGGCGCACUGGACCACAACUGACGCUGAGGCGCGAAAGCUAGGGGAGCAAACAGG